GACGAACGCUGGCGGCGUGCUUAACACAUGCAAGUCGAACGGAAAGGCCCUGCUUUUGUGGGUUGCUCGAGUGGCGAACGGGUGAGUAACACGUGAGUAUCCUGCCCUUGACUUUGGGAUAACUUCAGGAAACUGGGGCUAAUACCGGAUAGGAGCUCCUGCUGCAUGGUGGGCGUUGGAAAGUUUCGGCGGUUGGGGAUGGACUCGCGGCUUAUCAGCUUGUUGGUGGGGUAGUGGUUUACCAAGCGUUUGACGGGUAGCCGGCCUGAGAGGGUAACCGGCGACAUUGGAACUGAGAGACGGCGCAGAAGGCUACGGGAGGCAGCAGGGGGGAAUAUGGCACAAUGGGCGGAAGUGUGAGGCAGCAACGUCGCGUGCGGGAUGACGGGUUUAGGGGUGAAAACAGAUGUCGCAGGUGAUGAAGAGUGAGUGACGGUAAUGGGUAAAGAAGCACCGGCUAACUACGUG
rnacentral:rRNA from 1 species